ACCAACUAUUAGGUUUCAAAUGUUAGUUUUAAGAGGUUUUAUAUCACCAAACAUAAUUUAUAAAUUAAAUUAUCUCGUAAAUUACAUUAAUGAAUAAACAUAACAUUUUAUAGAUUUGAUCUCCAUCCGUCGGUUAGAAAUACGAAAAUAUUAGCUUUUUUACAUUUUUUUUUUAAUUGGCUGUUUGUCGAUUUCGUUCGCGCCUUUGCCUUGCGCGCGCAUUGGAAUCGUGGGUAAAAAAAAUAACGCGCCAGCUCUGCCCUAUUUAUCGUAUUUGUCAUAAAAUUGGAAUAGUUUUGCAUGUUUUUAGUUUAUAUAUUGACGAAAAUGUAAUUUUUAAGCAUUGAAAGUGAAGAACACAUAAAAUUGACGCUGCCAGUAAAACUAAUAGAGGCAAGAGCCGAGAACGAUAGCCUUUUACCAACAAAAUCGGGUGAAAAAUAAUUGGCGGCAUAUGAAAUUUUUAUACAAUGGAAAAUCAGCAAAAACGCCCAGCCUUUCUUGGAUAACGUGUUGGUAGCUUACUUCAAUGAACUGGCGAAUAAGUGCCUACAAGCCCAGCACGCUUUGGUGCAAUUAUUCGAUGUUAAAACUGUUUUAAAAA